rnacentral:rRNA from 1 species
UACAGAGGUCUCAAGCGUUGUUCGGAUUCAUUGGGCGUAAAGGGUGCGUAGGUGACGUCGUAAGUCGGGUGUGAAAUUUCGGAGCUUAACUCCGAAACUGCAUUCGAUACUGCGGUGCUUGAGGACUGGAGAGGAGACUGGAAUUUACGGUGUAGCAGUGAAAUGCGUAGAGAUCGUAAGGAAGACCAGUGGCGAAGGCGGGUCUCUGGACAGUUCCUGACACUGAGGCACGAAGGCCAGGGGAGCAAACGGG